UAUAUAUAUAUAUAUAUAUAUAUAUAUAAAGCACCCAGUCCUAUUGGAAUACAAUUGUGACAAUGCACUUUUUUACAUAGAAAUUAUACCAUAAUUUCAGAAAGUUACAUCAUUACAUUUUAUGGAUAAUACAUUUUGAUAAAUUUAGGUCACUUUUGGAUUUCAUAAAAUCUGUGGUAGGUUUUUAAGCUUUUUUCUCUAGAGUUGUCUUUACACUGGAAAAAAAGGCAUAUAUUGUGAAAAGGUGCAUUUACAAAUACUUUAAUGUGGCACAGGGGAGGCAUAAAUGUACUUGCAAAGGAAUGACGAUUGCAGUAAACAAUGUGUCAUUCUUGUGAAUGUUAUAUUUUUGAGAAAAUGUUGCCUUCUGUGUUGAUUCACAGCUGAUCCUGGAGGGGAAGCAUGCAGGGCAUAAUUUGUGCCGGAACAGGCUGGAUCCGGAUCCGGCACUUCCAGAAUUUGAUCAUGCAUCUAUUUCUAUUUCAUGCAUCUAUUGACCUCACAUCACACCUCUGAACAAAAAAUGCUAUUACCUUUACAUGUUUCAUUUGGAAUAAGGUUUGGUUUAUUUUAAAUGUACAUAAUAAGCUAGGGAAUGACUGAAGGACCUAGCAGAGAAGUCAAAUGGCCCCACACAGAUGUUACAACUCUACACUUUGCGAUCCAUUAUCAAGGGAGAAACUGCACUCACUGCAGGAAAAAAAAAAUCAAUACCUACUUCAGAACUAACUGCACUUGCAGAAAAUGUGCAUUUUACAUGCCAGAAUCAAUUCCCUGCUCUGACGUGAGAAUCUCCACAUGUUUGACAAUCACACUUUUCCAGUGUGGAGAUUUCCACCCUUCAAUCAACAAGCAGUUCACACUUCUCAGUUAUGUAUAGCACUCACAAAAUAAAAAUGAAGACUCUUACCCCGUAACUCUGGUGCCAUAAUUAGCAGGAGUUAUCUUACAGAAAAACCACAUGAACUUCACAUGUGCAAUCACAUGUUAAAAUCACAUGUGGAAUAUGUGAAACACAUGAAACAUGGUUUUGGAACAUUUUCAUGUUGUUAACACAUGAACAAAUGUGGACACGUGACCAAUAUGUGAUCAUGUCAUGCGGAUUAUGUUUAUGUACAAGUACCUUAGAAGAUCAACAUCAGUGGCCAAAGAGACACUGUUUCACAUCAGUCCCUUUUCCUUAAUGCUUCCUUUUCGCCACAAUGAUUGCGGCAGUCCUUUUGGAUUCUGUCGGCUAGGACCACAUUGUUCUCAAGGGUAUUUUUUUUUUUUUUUUUUUUGACGCUGAUAGAAAAUGGAGUCUAAUACCACAGAGUUACAAACAGCAAAGCAGAUUUAGUCCUGGAUUAAAUCCAAUGAUGGUGUUUGGAAUCUGAAGGCUUAGCCACGCAUCUGCCGCUGGUUUUACAGGUAUGGGAGAGGCAUUUCAAAUGAGGGACUGGGUGGUAAUCUUGUUGCAUGACUGCACUUAAGAGAAAGUUUCAAGAAAAGUCGUUCUGACAAUAGAUCUUCAAACUGCAGCUUGUGCUAAGGUGAAUACUGAUUUGUUUAUGGCAUGCUGGUUUUCUUUGGCAGUCUUUCAGCAGGCUGAACCAAGUCCAGGUCAUUGGCCAUGCUAACAAUAGCAGAGGUUGGGAUUCUGCCCUUGCGGUUGGGUUAAAACCUCUGUUUGACCCGCUCGUAUGGGCAGUAUAGUUCAAAACAGGAGGUGAGACACAAGACACAUAAGCUAGUCAGAAAAUAUGAUCUCCUUUAGAGUGUCAGA
ensembl:lncRNA